GCCCGCGUAGCUCAGUGGGUAGAGCACACCCUUGGUAAGGGUGAGGUCACCGGUUCGAGUCCGGUCGCGGGCUCCG
rnacentral:tRNA from 1 species